rnacentral:rRNA from 1 species
CAUUAUCGAGUGGAGGGUCCUCGUGGCCCGACCUCCAACCCGGUGUCUAAUGUUACCAUGUUGCUUUGGCGGGCCCGUCGUAUGACCGCCGGGGGUCCCCGGAUCUCUGGCCCGUGCCUGCCAAUGGCCCUCACAAACUCUGUUAAAACCGUGACCUUCUCAGUUAUAUAUCAAUAAACUAAAACUUUCAACAACGGAUCUCUUGGUUCUGGCAUCGAUGAAGAACGCAGCGAAAUGCGAUAAGUAAUGCGAAUUGCAGAAUUUAGUGAGUCAUCGAAUCUUUGAACGCACAUUGCGCCCUUUGGUAUUCCGAAGGGCAUGCCUGUUCGAGCGUCAUUAUCAACCAUCAAGCCCGGCUUGCCAUUGAGCCCUCGGCCCGUCACACGGCCAGCUCGAAAGACAGUGGCAGAGUCGGUCGGACCCUAGAUGCAACGAGCUCUAAGCACGCAUUGAAGUGGCCGGCCCCUCUCGCCUGGACACACGUUUCCAAGGUUGACCUCGGAUCAGGUAGGAAUACCC